CCUAUUACUUCCACUCGUUUUCUUUCCCACCGCAUGCUUAAAGUUCUGCGCCCUACCAAUUUUAAAUGAAAUUGAUUUUAUUUUAUUUUCCCCUCUUACUUUUAUUCUCCACGUGUACUCUAUACAACACUUCACAUCAACACUUUCACUUUUCACAUCUUCUUCCCGAUUCUCAGUUCUAUCAUUUUUAUUUCGAACCAGGUUUUUCGACGGAGCCACCGUGCCGGAGAUCUCACAGCCGUCGUCUUCUUCUCCUCUAAGAAAAGGGACGCAGGCUUGAAUUAUGUACACGGAAAAUUGAGUUCGUCUCUUACAGCCACAUCUUUAUUUGGAACUAUAACGUCCACAUGUUUAUAGUUCAUUUGUUCCUCUUUAUGUUUAUUUGGAAUAUUUUUCCAUAUAUGGAGUGUAAAAAGCAUUUCUAAAGUGACGUAUCAAACUAGUAAAUAUGGAAAUAAAGCGUUCGUAUACGUA